rnacentral:rRNA from 1 species
GGAAUUACUGGGCGUAAAGCGUGCGUAGGCGGUUUAUUAAGUCAGAUGUGAAAGCCCCGGGCUUAACCUGGGAACUGCAUUUGAAACUGGUCAACUAGAGUAUGGUAGAGGAAAGUGGAAUUUCUGGUGUAGCGGUGAAAUGCGUAGAUAUCAGAAGGAACAUCAAUGGCGAAGGCAGCUUUCUGGACCAAUACUGACGCUGAGGUACGAAAGCGUGGGUAGCAAACAGGAUUAGAUACCCUGGUAGUCCACGCCGUAAACGAUGAUAACUAGCCGUUGGGGGGAUUUACCCCUUAGUGGCGAAGCUAACGCGUUAAGUUAUCCGCCUGGGGAGUACGGCCGCAAGGCUAAGACUCAAAGGAAUUGACGGGGACCCGCACAAGCGGUGGAGCAUGUGGUUUAAUUCGAUGCAACGCGAAGAACCUUACCUGGUCUUGACAUCCUGCGAACUUUCUAGAAAUAGAUUGGUGCCUUCGGGAACGCAGUGACAGGUGCUGCAUGGCUGUCGUCAGCUCGUGUCGUGAGAUGUUGGGUUAAGUCCCGUAACGAGCGCAACCCCUAUCCUUAUUUGCCGGCACAUUAUGGUGGGAACUAUAAGGAGACUGCCGGUGAUAAACCGGAGGAAGGCGGGGACGACGUCAAGUCAUCAUGGCCCUUACGACCAGGGCUACACACGUGCUACAAUGGGAAGGACAAAGAGCCGCGAAGCCGCGAGGUGUAGCUAAUCUCACAAAUCUUUUCGUAGUCCGGAUUGGAGUCUGCAACUCGACUCCAUGAAGUCGGAAUCGCUAGUAAUCGUAGAUCAGAAUGCUACGGUGAAUACGUUCCCGGGUCUUGUACACACCGCCCGUCAUACCAUGGGAGUGGGUUGCAAAAGAAG